UAGUGAGGCCUCCUGACUGGCGCCGAUACUCUGGCAACAGAGCGCCGGAUGCCGGAAAGUUGGUCAAACUUGAUCAUUUAGAGGAAGUAAAAGUCGUAACAAGGUUUCCGUAGGUGAACCUGCGGAAGGAUCAUUACCGAUACCGUCCAAGAAAAAAACAACUCUCCGUUGUUUUUUUGCCCUGUGAAUCGUACCCAAUCGUUUAGGGGUCGGCCUGGCCGUUAAAUGGCGAGCGGACGCGAGGCAAUGCCCGCGGCCGGCCUCGCCAGCCCCGCCUGUGUUUUUUAACCUACGUGUCUACGGUCUGAUCUUGCGGCCUGACGAGGGCCGAGAGUUGGAAAUGCGAGAGACAACUUUUGACGGUGGAUCUCUUGGCUCACGCAUCGAUGAAGAACGCAGCCAGCUGCGAUAAGUAGUGUGAAUUGCAGAAUUCAGUGAAUCAUCGAAUCUUUGAACGCAAAUGGCGCUCUUGGGUUCUCCCAGGAGCAUGUCUGUCUGAGUGUCGGAUAUCAUCCAUCGCAAGCACGGUGCGCCCGCCCGUGCUGGCGGCGUUGAGGCGUCACGGCCGCCGCACAGUGUCGGCCGUGUCCCUUGAAAGGCAGAGAGACUCGCCGCGGUCCGUGGGUAUCUUGAUUCCCGCGGCGCACCAGCGGAGGCCAAAAGUGUUGGCAGUCCUUCGCGCGCCGUCGGGGCCCCGCCGCGCGAGUCGUCCAGGCGAGACAUCUAUCUAUCUUUCUUGACCUCAGAUCAGGCAAGGCUACCCGCUGAAUUUAAGCAUA
rnacentral:misc_RNA from 1 species